rnacentral:rRNA from 1 species
AGUGAACGCUGGCGGUAGGCCUAACACAUGCAAGUCGAACGGAAGCACAGUAAGAGCUUGCUCUUACGGGUGGCGAGUGGCGGACGGGUGAGGAAUACAUAGGAAUCUACUUUUUCGUGGGGGAUAACGGAGGGAAACUUACGCUAAUACCGCAUACGACCUACGGGUGAAAGCAGGGGAUCUUCGGACCUUGCGCGUUUGAAUGAGCCGAUGUCGGAUUAGCUAGUUGGCGGGGUAAAGGCACACCAAGGCGACGAUCCGUAGCUGGUCUGAGAGGAUGAUCAGCCACACUGGAACUGAGACACGGUCCAGACUCCUACGGGAGGCAGCAGUGGGGAAUAUUGGACAAUGGGCGAAAGCCUGAUCCAGCCAUACCGCGUGGGUGAAGAAGGCCUUCGGGUUGUAAAGCCCUUUUGUUGGGAAAGAAAAGCAGCAGGUUAAUACCCCGCUGUUCUGACGGUACCCAAAGAAUAAGCACCGGCUAACUUCGUG